rnacentral:rRNA from 1 species
GAUGACGGCCUUCGGGUUGUAAACCUCCUUUAGCAGGGAAGAAGCGAAAGUGACGGUACCUGCAGGAAAAGCGCCGGCUAACUACGUGCCAGCAGCCGCGGUAAUACGUAGGGCGCAAGCGUUAUCCCGGAAUUAUUGGGCGUAAAGAGCUCGUAGGCGGUUUGUCGCGUCUGCUGUGAAAUCCGGAGGCUCAACCUCCGGCCUGCAGUGGGUACGGGCAGACUAGAGUGCGGUAGGGGAGAUUGGAAUUCCUGGUGUAGCGGUGGAAUGCGCAGAUAUCAGGAGGAACACCGAUGGCGAAGGCAGAUCUCUGGGCCGUAACUGACGCUGAGGAGCGAAAGGGUGGGGAGCAAACAGGCUUAGAUACCCUGGUAGUCCACCCCGUAAACGUUGGGAACUAGUUGUGGGGUCCAUUCCACGGAUUCCGUGACGCAGCUAACGCAUUAAGUUCCCCGCCUGGGGAGUACGGCCGCAAGGCUAAAACUCAAAGGAAUUGACGGGGACCCGCACAAGCGGCGGAGCAUGCGGAUUAAUUCGAUGCAACGCGAAGAACCUUACCAAGGCUUGACAUAUACGAGAACGGGCCAGAGAUGGUCAACUCUUUGGACACUCGUAAACAGUGGUGCAUGGUUGUCGUCAGCUCGUGUCGUGAGAUUGUUGGGUUAAGUCCCGCAACGA